AUCGGUUAUGGUGAUAUGACACCGCACACUUACCUUGGUCGUAUCAUUGGCUCUGUAUGUGCGUUAGCUGGUGUAUUAACUAUUGCUUUGCCUGUUCCUGUAAGUUUUGAAC
rfam:Dracunculus medinensis genome assembly, scaffold: DME_scaffold0000001